rnacentral:lncRNA from 1 species
UUUUGGAAGUUUGUUAUUGGCCGGCAGUCGGUUCAAGUUCGCACAAUGUGUCUCUGAUGUCUCUGAUUUUUACUUGGCUUUGAUUAUGUUCCUUCCUUAAUUGAUUUUUCAGGCACUUCUGAGACAAUAUCGAAGAAAAACAAACAAACACAGUAUCCAGAAGAAAGUAGGAGACUCAAAGAAGAGGAACGUAAGAGACUCCAAGGGGGGCUGUUUGGACUUUCUGAUGAUUCGUCUGAUGAUGAGUCAAUGUUGACAGUAACUCCUUCUAAGACAUCAACAAUUUCGAAGGAAGAAGUGACUUCUGAACCUUCUGAGACAACAAUGUUGUUGAAGAAAAAAAUGACUUCAGCAUGACCCUAUGACAUGGAUGUCUGAGACCUCAGGCUCUUCUGAGACAAAAUCGAAGGAAAAAUGACAACAGUACCUCAGCUGCAUGAAGACGAACCGAUCCCUUAGGAUCUCUUAGGAGUGGGAGUGCUUAACGGAAAAAGACACCUAAACAGUCAAAUCAAAAGUUAAUUACAGUAUUGAAACAAUAGAGUAGUUGAAUCGAGAGCAAUAUGCUGUGAUAGUUGCAGGCGGAAACUGGAUGUUUCGAAAAAAAAUCAUUGUCGCCCCAGACGNGUANUUCGAGGACGACUAUAAAGAUUUGAGGAAUAUCCAGUUUUCAAGGGCAACAAACACAUUAAUUCUCAAGUUGCAAUCUGCUCUAUCGUUUUCAUUUAUUUUCUAAAGCGGCACUGUUAGAAAACCCUCAUCCAAUGAGAGGAGAGAGGAAAAUUUGUUGUUGAAUUAUAUAUGGAUACUCUCAUUCUCUCCAUGCGACUGAUUCGUCGGUUUCACCCAUCAAAUUUCUGAAGUUAAAACCGUUCAUUAAUACUAAAAAUAUGUAAGGCAUUCCACCACCUUUUCUACUGCGACCGUGGUAUUUGUUGGUUGCGAUUGUAAAUUUCCCUCCGCUCUCAUUGGUGGAGAGGUUCCAGUUUAAAUAUUGGGCGUUAUCAUGUGCCGUGAUAGUUGCCCAUUGAAACUCUAGUAGUCACCCUCACUUGAGAUAGCUGUAUAGCUUAAAUAAAAAUGUUUCCUUUUGAAAUUUUGCAUUUAUUGAACUGAGCUCAAAAUAGUUUUGAAAUAAUAUUCGCUAUUAAAGACACUCAAGCAUGUUUUUGCUCUUUUUUUCUUGUGCCAAUCUUAUUAGAAUAUUAGCAAACUCAUUAGCAUUUAAAAAGUGGGUUAUGCGAAUACGUUCUAGUGUCUAAACUAGGUAGAUUUUCACAGAGCAUAUUUAGAUUGUUUUGCCGACAACUUAAGACAAAAAUGAUGUUUUGUGCACUAUAAAAGCCUCGGACAAGGCAUGAAUCAGUCACCUCAAUAUUCAUUUUAUGAUAUUUUGUAGUUUGGAUGUACAAAAAUGUGAGUUAGAAACACACUUAGAGUAGGCUUCUUAUUUCGUAGUAAUGCUUAGUAGAAUUCAUACCUGUAUCGAGGUAUCAAGGAGCAAUUGUAGUAUCAUCAAGAAAUCUUCACCUUAUUAUAUUUCUAUAUCGUGUAGUGUUAACGAUUAAAAUAUUUCACAUUCAAAAAAAGAUAAAGAGAACCACGAUGUAUACAAUACAGCGGUACUUAGCUUGAAAACGUUGAGUACUCAGGAAUGUUGUGAUAUGCCUUGUUGGUCACUCAUCGUCGCUAUUGGGAGUUUUAUUAAUACGUACUGCAUGUUUUAGACCGCGUGACGUCCAGCUCCCAACAGUAGUGGAAAACAAAUCAAGAGCACUUUUUUAGAAUCGACGCGGAGACCACUAGACCAGUAGCAACAAAACAUUUUUAUCUUGUCCAGGAAUGCAUUAUGCAGCAUCAUAGUAUGCAGUACUUUUUCAAAUACCUUCAUAUUCAAUAUAGGUAGAGGUAAUCUUAGAUAUUCUAUAGGUUAGUAAGGUACACUAGUUUUUAUGAGCUACAACAACACAAUAAAAUUGUAUUUAUNCUAAAUCUUAUAAGUAAAACUUAGUACCAUAAAUGUGGUUGAGAUAAAUUUUAAUACAUAUUAUGAUAUUUGUAGUGUAAAGUAAAGCAUGUCUAGUAGUUUCCCCUCAGUUUAUCAUUGGUGAAAAUUAAAAUUGAUUAUGGGAAUGAC